rnacentral:rRNA from 1 species
AUUGAACGCUGGCGGCAUGCCUUACACAUGCAAGUCGAACGGUAACGCGGGGCAACCUGGCGACGAGUGGCGAACGGGUAAGUAAUGCAUCGGAACGUGCCCAGUAGUGGGGGAUAGCCCGGCGAAAGCCGGAUUAAUACCGCAUACGACCUACGGGUGAAAGGGGGGGAUCGCAAGACCUCGCGCCAUUGGAGCGGCCGAUGUCAGAUUAGGUUGUUGGUGGGGUAAAGGCCUACCAAGCCGACGAUCUGUAGCUGGUCUGAGAGGACGACCAGCCACACUGGGACUGAGACACGGCCCAGACUCCUACGGGAGGCAGCAGUGGGGAAUUUUGGACAAUGGGCGAAAGCCUGAUCCAGCCAUGCCGCGUGCGGGAAGAAGGCCUUCGGGUUGUAAACCGCUUUUGUCAGGGAAGAAAUCUUCUGGGUUAAUACCUCGGGAGGAUGACGGUACCUGAAGAAUAAGCACCGGCUAACUACGUGCCAGCCGCCGCGGUAA